GUGCUCUGGUGUACAGAGGCUGAGGACAGAGCAAGGACAAAUGUCCUGCUUUUAAUUUUGCUGAGGGUGUAAAAUGAGUCGAGGCUUUCUGCAGUCACUAUUCUAUUCAUAUCUUUUGUGUCCGAUGCUAUUUUUGUUGGCUGUGCCCCUGGAGGUGGAGGUGUGGAAGUGCGUUUCUGCUGGUCUUUGCAAGCGGUGUAGAUGUUUCCUCUGUUCCAGGCACCACCUCACACGCUGCGGCCUUACAGGAGGAGUAGGCGGAUGUCAGCGUAGCCAUUUCUCACCUGUCUGUAACUUUUUAAUACUUCCUUUUACUUGGCUUUGCAUUUCUUCCAUGGAACGAACAUCUCUGGGUAGCCACUGGGAGGUGUAAACGGCUUGGGAUGGAAACCACAGCUUGUAGGUGCGCCCUCUGCCAGGCUUUUCUGGCACCCGAGGAAGCCCAGUCUCUGCCUGCUCCCAAGCGAAAGGGAUAUUACCAGCUGCUCGGUGAGAAAACAAAUUCACAGAGAUACAGGAAAGUGUGUUAAGUUGGUGGGAAGCAACGGGCAUGAGAUUCCUGGCAGCUCGGGUGACUGGCAUUAUUUUGGAACCCAAUUCUCAAACAUCUGGGAUUAGCUCUCCUGGAAAUGUGAGGAUGUGGGCCCUCUAGUGCCACUUGGAAAAUGUCAGUAUUCCAGCCCACAGUCUGCAAGGGAGGUGUUAUUUGGCAAAUCUCCUGCAUGUGGCCGGUCCAACUGGAUAAUAGAUCCAGCAGUAACUCCUAGCAACAGGAACUCUUCCCCUUCAGUGGUUGCUUGAUGUCCUGUGUGAAAUGAGAGUUCAGCCAAUGGUAUAGGCACUUCUUAGUGGACAAGUAUCUACGCAUGUUAUUCUGCAGUAACUGGUGUCUCCAUGUCUGCCAUUCUCCCUUGCCAGCCCAGCAGAGAUAACUGAAGUUACCUGGAAAUAAAUUUCUCCAUCAAGUGUCCUAGCUGAGGCUUUGCUGCAAUAACAGCACAUGCACAACUUGUGCUGCUUAGUUUAUCUUUGGAUGGACAAUUGCUAUCUCCAGGCCUACAGAGUAA